rnacentral:tRNA from 1 species
GCCCUCGGUGGCUCAGAUGGAUAGAGCGUCUGCCAUGUAAGCAGGAGAUCUCGGGUUCGAGUCCCGGUCGGGGCA